rnacentral:tRNA from 2 species
ACCUGGCUGGCUCAGUCGGUAGAGCAUGUGACUCAAUCUCAUGGUUGUGAGUUCGAGACCCACGUUGGGUA